AUUGAACGCUGGCGGCAUGCUUUACACAUGCAAGUCGAACGGUAACAGGCCUUCGGGUGCUGACGUGUGGCGCACGGGUGAGUAAUGCAUCGGAACGUACCCAGAGGUGGGGGAUAACGCAGCGAAAGCUGUGCUAAUACCGCAUGUGAUCUGAGGAUGAAAGCGGGGGACCGAGCAGCAAUGUUUGGCCUCGCGCCUUUGGAGCGGCCGAUGUCGGAUUAGCUAGUUGGUGGGGUAAAGGCCUACCAAGGCGACGAUCCGUAGCUGGUCUGAGAGGACGACCAGCCACACUGGGACUGAGACACGGCCCAGACUCCUACGGGAGGCAGCAGUGGGGAAUUUUGGACAAUGGGCGCAAGCCUGAUCCAGCAAUGCCGCGUGAGGGAAGAAGGCCUUCGGGUUGUAAACCGCUUUUGGCAGGAACGAAACGGUGUCCGCUAAUACCGGGCGCUAAUGACGGUACCUGCAGAAUAAGCACCGGCUAACUACGUG
rnacentral:rRNA from 1 species